GUGCCAGCAGCCGCGGUAAUACGUAGGGUGCGAGCGUUGUCCGGAAUUACUGGGCGUAAAGGGCUCGUAGGUGGUUUGUCGCGUCGUCUGUGAAAUUCCGGGGCUUAACUCCGGGCGUGCAGGCGAUACGGGCAUAACUUGAGUACUGUAGGGGUAACUGGAAUUCCUGGUGUAGCGGUGAAAUGCGCAGAUAUCAGGAGGAACACCGAUGGCGAAGGCAGGUCUCUGGGCAGUUACUGACGCUGAGGAGCGAAAGCAUGGGUAGCGAACAGGAUUAGAUACCCUGGUAGUCCAUGCCGUAAACGGUGGGCGCUAGGUGUGGGGGUUUUAUUUACGAUUCCCGUGCCGUAGCUAACGCAUUAAGCGCCCCGCCUGGGGAGUACGGCCGCAAGGCUAAAACUCAAAGGAAUUGACGGGGGCCCGCACAAGCGGCGGAGCAUGUGGAUUAAUUCGAUGCAACGCGAAGAACCUUACCUGGGCUUGACAUACACCGGAUCGCUGCAGAGAUGUAGUUUCCCUUGUGGCUGGUGUACAGGUGGUGCAUGGUUGUCGUCAGCUCGUGUCGUGAGAUGUUGGGUUAAGUCCCGCAACGAGCGCAACCCUUGUCUUAUGUUGCCAGCAUUUGGUUGGGGACUCAUGAGAGACUGCCGGGGUUAACUCGGAGGAAGGUGGGGAUGACGUCAAAUCAUCAUGCCCCUUAUGUCCAGGGCUUCACACAUGCUACAAUGGUCGGUACAACGCGCAGCGACACUGUGAGGUGGAGCGAAUCGCUGAAAGCCGGUCUUAGUUCGGAUUGGGGUCUGCAACUCGACCCCAUGAAGUCGGAGUCGCUAGUAAUCGCAGAUCAGCAACGCUGCGGUGAAUACGUUCCCGGGCCUUGUACACACCGCCCGUCACGUCAUGAAAGUUGGUAACACCCGAAGCCAGUGGCUCAAACUCGUUAGGGAGCUGUCGAAGGUGGGAUCGGCGAUUGGGACGAAGUCGUAACAAGGUA
rnacentral:rRNA from 1 species